rnacentral:rRNA from 1 species
AUGAACGCUGGCGGCGUGCCUAAUACCUGCCAGUCGAGCGAACAGACGAGGAGCUUGCUCCUCUGACGUUAGCGGCGGACGGGUGAGUAACACGUGGAUAACCUACCUAUAAGACUGGGAUAACUUCGGGAAACCGGAGCUAAUACCGGAUAAUAUAUUGAACCGCAUGGUUCAAUAGUGAAAGACGGUUUUGCUGUCACUUAUAGAUGGAUCCGCGCCGCAUUAGCUAGUUGGUAAGGUAACGGCUUACCAAGGCAACGAUGCGUAGCCGACCUGAGAGGGUGAUCGGCCACACUGGAACUGAGACACGGUCCAGACUCCUACGGGAGGCAGCAGUAGGGAAUCUUCCGCAAAGGGCGAAAGCCUGACGGAGCAACGCCGCGUGAGUGAUGAAGGUCUUCGGAUCGUAAAACUCUGUUAUUAGGGAAGAACAAAUGUGUAAGUAACUAUGCACGUCUUGACGGUACCUAAUCAGAAAGCCACGGCUAACUACGUG